rnacentral:tRNA from 1 species
GGAGAGGUGGGUGAGUGGCUGAAACCACCAGUUUGCUAAACUGGCGUACCUGUAAAGGGUACCGCGGGUUCGAAUCCCGCCCUCUCCG